AGAAGCGCUAGGGAUAUCUCCCCUCCCCCGCUCCCUCUGUCUCCCUCUCUCCCUCCCCUCUCCCCUCUCCCAUGAGAGGACACAGCCAGAAGGAGACCGUCUGCAAGCCAAGGAGAGAAGCCUCACCAGCCAUGGAAUCUAUAGGCACCUUGAUGUUGGACUUCCAGCCUCCAGAGCUGAUUUUUCAUGGGCCGAUCUGCUGAAUUCAGCCUAGGAGCUGAGACCAACAUCUGAGUCUCUUCAGCACACAAGUUUGAAAGAAGUCCUAGCAACUUCAAGCUCAGAACUACGGGUGGCAGCAGCUCCCUCUUGACGUCGAAGCCUCCCAUUCCAGAGAGAGUCAAGGCCUGGAUCAAACAAAGCCCACAAGCACCGAUGACUGAGCUGCUGACUACCCCCAGCAUCUCCAACUCAACCUCCUCUUUCUGCCUCUACCCAAAUUUUAAAACUUUCAAACAUGGGUUUAAAAAUGGUAAUGAGUAAAGUUGCAUCCAAGUGUAUCAAAUAAAACUAAAUAUCCAUAAA
rnacentral:lncRNA from 1 species